rnacentral:rRNA from 1 species
UACGUAGGGUGCAAGCGUUGUCCGGAAUUAUUGGGCGUAAAGAGCUCGUAGGCGGCUUGUCACGUCGGGUGUGAAAGCCCCGGGGCUUAACCCCGGGUCUGCAUUCGAUACGGGCAGGCUAGAGUGUGGUAGGGGAGAUCGGAAUUCCUGGUGUAGCGGUGAAAUGCGCAGAUAUCAGGAGGAACACCGGUGGCGAAGGCGGAUCUCUGGGCCAUUACUGACGCUGAGGAGCGAAAGCGUGGGAGCAAACAGG